UUAAAAUUAGAAUGCCGAAAAUCAAAUUAAAAUUGAAUUUAAAUGAUUAGAAAAUUCAAAACCUUUAUUUGGUUUAGUUAAUUUUCCUUUUUUUUCCCCUUUAAAUGUGCUAAUUUUUACCAGAUUGUAACAUAGUUCCAUGUAAUUUUUAAGUAUGUAAGAACAAAACUGAUUUGUGGAUCUGUUUAUUCUAAUUUCUGUGAUCAUAUCGCUCAUGUAAACCUGUUAGACAUGGACCGUUCGUAUCGAGAAGAACCUGUAAAUCUUGAAGGUUCAUUGCUUCAAAUGAUCAAUGAUCACAACCAUGCUUCUACCAUACUACGUGAACGUACUGGUCAGUUAUAUUCAACCGAAUUUGUGAUUGAACCGUGAGAUUGUUAAUUUUUGGGAUUUUAUGAUGAAGCCAUUGACUUAAUCAUAUUUUGGGUUUUUUGUUUGUAAAAAAAAUCAGAGAAAGCAAAGAAAGAAGCAAUUCAGACUGCAGAGCGCGUUUCAGAUCUGUUGGUGAAUUCAGUGAAUGAGGGUGUGCAAGAGGUCUUCAUAAAUGAGAAGCGAAUUGAAAUGGAAAUUCGAGCUUUAGCUGCAACUAUUAUGCAAUUUACAAAGCAGACUGAUCAGUGGCUCACAGCUUCCCAUGCUAUUAACACUGCCAUUAAGGUUUAUACACUUGGUCUUUGAAUGAUAACUAUACUGGAUUUUGCCUGCUACCAUUGCAGUUUAGUACACAGAGAAGUGAUAGUUUUAUAUGAAACUGCAGUUUCUAGGAUAUUCUGUAUUUGCUUGUUACUAAAUUGUUGAAAUCAUAAGUGAAAAUGACAAUGGUUUGACCUACACAACUUAAGGAAAAGAUUUCAUGAGACUAAAUUUUCAGGCCGUUGGUCUGGAUCUUGGUUUCAAUAGGUAGAAGUAGAACUAUGGGAAGAACAAUUCUUUCUUAUUUUCCUUUUGCAUUCCAAGUGUGUGUUUGAGCUACAUUAUUUUGGAAGAAUGUAUGUUGGAAUGGUAGAUUGAUGGAGAAUGUGUGGUUAAAAAAUGAGAAAAAGUUUUGAAUUGGCAUGUGAUAUUAUUUUAUUGAAGAAUGUGUGGUUGAAAUGAUGUUAAAUCACUAUUUGAGAAUGUAUUUUUUUGAAAGAAUGUGGCUCAAACAGGGCCUAAAUAUACAAGGCAUUUAUUCAAACUUACUCGACUUAUAUACCAAGAUGAAAGAUACUUCUUAGCAUAUAUCCAUACAAACAUGACUUGCAAGAAGUAAAAGGAAUUUAUGAAAACUUUAUUUUCAUUCAUCAGCUUAGUUUAGGAAGUUAGUUGAACAUGUUGAUAUGGUUAAGGAUGCAACUUAUUUUAUGACAUUUACAAUUUAGUGAAAAGAGAGUGAAAGCAUUUGAGAAUGAGGGAAAUUCAGAAAUUGUGAAGCGCUUCAGGUUCUAUAAUUUUACUAGGCUAUAUCUCAUAUGAUGCUCACUUAUCAGGACAGAGUUUCUUACCUGUUGCUGGGAAAAUAAAAAUAUAUUUUUUGCUCUAUUCUAUUGGCUCCUGGCUUGUCAAACAACCAACUAUAAUCUCAUAAUACAGCACUUUAUGUCUGGGCUGGGUCAUUUUGAUUUUGUCAUUUUUUGUAAUCAUAGACUCUAUUCUAUUGGCUCCUGGCUUGUCAAACAACCAACUAUAAUCUCAUAAUACAGCACUUUAUGUCUGGGCUAGGUCAUUUUGAUUUUGUCAUUUUUUGUAAUCAUAGUGAUGUUUUCCUCUCUAGAAAUACAUACUAGAAUGAUAAAUAGGGGACAAUUAAUGCUAAGGAAUCAUUGAUUAAAAUGGCAAAUCAAAAUACUCAGUUUCAGCUUAGAAAAGGUAAGGAUAACGGUCAGUUUGAAUUUUUACUAUAAAUUGGAUUACAACUUGAACAAUUUUUAACUAAAUGAUUUGUGGUUGAAUGAGACAUAGGAUAAGCCGCUUAUUCCUGAGAUUUUAUGGACUCUAUAUACAGGAAAUUGGAGAUUUCGAGAAUUGGAUGAAGAUAAUGGAACUUGAUUGCAAAAGCAUUAGUGCUGCAAUCUGCAAUAUUCACCAAGAAUGAAAUGACAAGGCAAGCUUUCGAUUCCUUUCUUAUGCACAAUUCUUGUGCUUCCCUGUGUACAUGUUUUGUCCCAUGGGGCACUUAUUAUAUAUCUGAAAAUAUGUUUCAUUAUUGAUUGAGUAGAACCUCUAAAAACCUUUUAAUGCUCAACACUCCUUCGUACUGAUUUAUUUGUGUGCACUGGCCUCGCAUAUUUGAUGGCAGCCAUCCUCCAGCCUCCUCUCCAGUUCAGGGCAUAUUUCAGUUAUCUGUGUUAACGGUAUAGUUGUCUAAGUUGCCUGCACUAACUGGGAAUCGACUUCACUCAUUGCUAGGCAAACACUUAAGCUACUGGGAAGUUGCACAGAUGUACUCCAGCGGACACACAUGGAAUUUAAAAAAAAAUAAAAAUGAAAAAGAACAAACUCAAUUGUACGUUAUUAUUGUGAUAUUAAUCUUUCUAAGGGCAUGUGUGAGUUGAUCCAACUGGCUCAUUCCUUAUCUGGUUCGAGUCUGGAAGAUGCAGCUUGAGAAGUUUAAACGAACUUAAUCGUAUGAAGUUGCUGUCACUGAAUUAGAAUAUUCAUCCAAUCAAAAGAAUAGGGCAAUUGUUGUUUAUGUGGACUGACCUUCCACAGAAUAUAUAGGAACUGUGCAUGUUAUAGGCCAUUUAAUAGGGCUCCAAACUGGAAUGUGGAGGAUAUGAGUUUAUUGCGG
rnacentral:lncRNA from 1 species